GACGUAGGGCGCGAGCGUUGUCCGGAUUUAUUGGGCGUAAAGAGCUCGUAGGCGGCUUGUCGCGUCGACUGUGAAAACCCGCGGCUCAACUGCGGGCCUGCAGCCGAUACGGGCAGGCUAGAGUUCGGUAGGGGAGACUGGAAUUCCUGGUGUAGCGGUGAAAUGCGCAGAUAUCAGGAAGAACACCCGUGGCGAAGGCGGUUCUCUGGAACGCAACUGACGCUGAGACGCGAAAGCGUGGGGAGCAAACAGG
rnacentral:rRNA from 1 species